GGCGUAAGCGCGCGCAGGUGGUUUCUUAAGUCUGAUGUGAAAGCCCACGGCUCAACCGUGGAGGGUCAUUGGAAACUGGGAGACUUGAGUGCAGAAGAGGAAAGUGGAAUUCCAUGUGUAGCGGUGAAAUGCGUAGAGAUAUGGAGGAACACCAGUGGCGAAGGCGACUUUCUGGUCUGUAACUGACACUGAGGCGCGAAAGCGUGGGGAGCAAACAAGAUUAUAUACCCUGGUAGUCCACCCCGCAAACGAUGAUUGCUAAGUGUUAGAGGGUU
rnacentral:rRNA from 1 species